AUUUAGAAGACAGCAAAUACCUCACUGGCCCAAGAGUUUUGUUGCCAAAUCGCCAUCUCAGACCCCAGAUACAGUUCACUGGGUGCUUGUUGCCCGAAGAUCAGAGUGAGGUCUGAUAGACUCUUCUUCUGCCCCCGAGCAACAGAUGAAACCAAAGCAAGACAGGCGCCAGGCUGCAGUGCAAUGUCCCCUCCACGGCGUCUUCAAGCGGGUCAGUACAUCAAGAGGCUGUCGGCGUCCUGGGUCUCGUGGUAACCCACAUAGAAAUCACCGACUACGACCCGGCGAGUGAACAGGUGCCGUCACUUCUCCGCACUUGCCCUUCAGUGUGCCAUUGUGCGCAAAGAAGCAAACACAUCACUUCCCAGGGUUUGUUGCCGAUGUGACCAGAGACAGCCGGGGUCCAUCCGCCGCUUCAAGGGAUCUGUUCUCAGACGAACCAUGAGAUCCUGUUCAGGCUGCAAAACGUGUGAAGAAAUUAAGUCGGGAGACCCUGAACUUGGACGCCUUGGUGUUGCCAUCUCCGCUUACCCUCUUCCCGCCAGGAGUCUGGCCACAGAAUGAGUCAGGAUUCUACCUGGGAAAGUCACGUAUGGAUUGAGGACCUCCAAAAGGAGAAAUAAAUUUGCCAAGAAAUGCCCUUGUCACAGGACCUCCAGUGGCGCACUUCGGAGGAUCUGAGCGAGCGGAGGGGAAAGACUCCCGGGUGCUGCGGGAUGACACACGACUCCUGAGCAUCGGGAGACAGGAG